rnacentral:rRNA from 1 species
GGAAUAUUGGUCAAUGGGCGAAAGCCUGAACCAGCAAUGCCGCGUGGGUGAUGAAGGCCUUCGGGUUGUAAAGCUCUGUCAGAAGGAAAGAAAAAGCCGAUUAAUAACCGGCCUUGACGGUACCUUCAAAGGAAGCACCGGCCAACUCUGUGCCAGCAGCCGCGGUAAUACAGAGGGUGCAAGCGUUGUUCGGAAUUACUGGGCGUAAAGCGCGUGUAGGCGGCUUAUUAAGUCGGACGUGAAAUCCCUUGGCUUAACCAAGGAACUGCGUCCGAUACUGAUAAGCUAGAGUAUCGGAGGGGGUGGCGGAAUUCCCGGUGUAGAGGUGAAAUUCGUAGAUAUCGGGAGGAACACCUGUGGCGAAGGCGGCCACCUGGAAGAUAACUGACGCUGAGACGCGAAAGCGUGGGGAGCA